rnacentral:tRNA from 1 species
GACCCCAUCGUCUAGCCUGGCCUAGGACACCGCCCUUUCAAGGCGGCAACGCGGGUUCGAAUCCCGCUGGGGUCACCA